rnacentral:lncRNA from 1 species
AUAAAAAAGCAUUUGAAAUAAUAGUGGUUGAAAUUGCCCCAAAUUUAUUUAAAUAGCAUUAACUUUUUUUAUGUUUGCAAAUUAAGGUCAACUGAGAUUCCAAACUAGUUCUUCAAAUUCAUAAACCUCUGCUGAUAUAGCUUAACCUCCUCCUUACUUAGCACGAGUUUAUCCAAAAUUCUCUUUGUUGGUUGUGCCCUAAUCCCCCAGGGCCAUGAACUUUGGCCUUACCGAAUUUGUUUAAAGGUUGCUUCUGGAAGAUUCUUCUAUAAUGCAAGGAAGCAGGAGGAUGUUUGAUUAAUAUUGGUUUUUCCCUU